rnacentral:rRNA from 1 species
GCAAGUCGAGCGGAUUUAUCCUCGGGAUAAGUUAGCGGCGGACGGGUGAGUAACACGUAGGCAACCUGCCUAUAAGACUGGGAUAACUAUCGGAAACGAUAGCUAAGACCGGAUAACUGAUUUUCUCGCAUGAGAAAAUUAUGAAACACGGAGCAAUCUGUGGCUUAUAGAUGGGCCUGCGGCGCAUUAGCUAGUUGGUAGGGUAACGGCCUACCAAGGCGACGAUGCGUAGCCGACCUGAGAGGGUGAACGGCCACACUGGGACUGAGACACGGCCCAGACUCCUACGGGAGGCAGCAGUAGGGAAUCUUCCGCAAUGGACGCAAGUCUGACGGAGCAACGCCGCGUGAGUGAUGAAGGUUUUCGGAUCGUAAAGCUCUGUUGCCCUAGACGAACAGCAAGAGGAGUAACUGCCUUUUGUGUGACGGUAUAGGAGAAGAAAGCCCCGGCUAACUACGUGCCAGCAGCCGCGGCAAUACGUAGGGGGCAAGCGUUGUCCGGAAUUAUUGGGCGUAAAGCGCGCGCAGGCGGUCAAUUAAGUUGGGUGUUUAAGCCCGGGGCUCAACCCCGGUUCGCAUCCAAAACUGGUCGACUUGAGUGUAGGAGAGGAAAGUGGAAUUCCACGUGUAGCAGUGAAAUGCGUAGAGAUGUGGAGGAACACCAGUGGCGAAGGCGACUUUCUGACCUAUAACUGACGCUGAGGCGCGAAAGCGUGGGGAACAAACAGGAUUAGAUACCCUGGUAGUCCACGCCGUAAACG